rnacentral:lncRNA from 1 species
GAAGUUGGUACGCCGUGGGUGCCGAGAGCAGAAAGCACCCCGUGACUCCUUUGCCGGGCCGGGCACAGACGCCCGGUUAGUGGAUUCGGGCACCGCAGGCUGGUGCAGAAGCCGGGUCCCUGCGGCUGCGAUGGCAGCUUCGCCUCCCCUUACCCGUGGCCACCUCUGGGUGCCCGCCCUCUCCUGCCCUCUUACCAGGGCAAAGAUCAAGCCUGCACCGCGGUCCUCAGCGCCGCUCUGUCUCCGAGAGCGGCGGGCCCUGCCGUGCGGGCCAGGGAGAAGCCGCCUGGGAGGGGGAGAGGCCUCCGAUCCUCUGCCCCUGUGACGAUGACGGUGACGGUGAUGGCUCACUGCCUCACGGGAGACUAAGCUGGAGGUUCUGCUCCCACUGCCGUCGUCACACCAGCGCCCUUCGUGGAGGCUCUUACUCAGUUCUCCCAGUGACCACACCGAGGGCCUCCUGCUGUGUCCACGUCACAGACCCAGGCCCGGGGGCUGAUGCGCUUGUCAGAUCCUCCCGCUCGCAGGUUCCUCUCCAGCUGCGCGGCUACCUGCUAUGUGACACGUUAUAACAAGGCGUCUUCCGUAGGGAGUGGCACUGUGCCCAUGUGACAAUGCCCAGUCGGUAGGUAUGAAUGGAGGUGAUGUGAGGUCUCAGAAGGGCUGCUGUAGCAGCUUCUCCAGACGCAGCCAUGAUGAGCCAGUCUCACCACCUGAAGCUGUCCCAUCCUCGGAGCAGGUACCACAGACCCAUCCUCGACUCCUCUUUCUGGGCUCGGCACUGUCAUGCCUCUUAAACCUCAAGAAGGCAAGUAUGGAGGAUCCAGUUUGAAGCAGGUCAGAGGGCUCUGGGUGGGACGUCUCCAAGCAGACACUAAAUGCUGCUGGUAAGGGAUUCUGUAGAUGUGGUCGAAGUCUAGCAUCACUUGACUUCCAGGGAAGACGACUCCUGAUCAUGUGAGUGGGCCGCGCCGUUCAGGUCAGCAGUAGGUAACUGUCCCACGUUCGUACAAAAGUUCAUGGCUUCAAUGCAUCCCCCAGCAUUCCUAUAUCCAAACUUAAUCCCCAAUUCAAUAAUAUCAGGAGGUGGUGGGGCUUUGAGAAGGCGACUAGGUCAUGAGGGCUCUGCUCUCAGGAAUGGGAUUCGUGGCUCAGUAGAGAGCUGCCCUUCUGUUCUUCCAUGUGAAGACAGUGUGGACCGCUCUAGAGGAUGUCAUUUGUGCCAUCUUGGAAAGCAAGGCUAGAUUCUCACCAGGUUACCGUUUAUUUUUAAUUUGUUUUGAUUUUUUUGAGACAAGAUCUCCUUAUGUAGUCUGGGCUGGCCUUGAACUCAUUAUACAGCUGAAGCUGGCCUUGAACUUCUAGGGUUCCUCCUGCAUCAGCCUUCUUAGUGCUGGGAUUGCAGGUGUGUUCCACGAUACCAGCCUUGAGUUUUAUUGAACUGUCUAUGCCUUGAUCUUGGACUUCUAGCCUCCAGAAUUAUGGGAAAUAACUUCUGUUCUUUCUAAGUUAUUCGGUCUUAGGUAUUUUGUUAUAACAGCAGACACAGACUAAGAUAUAGAAUGCUAUCUAGCAGUGAAAAAAGAAUGUUUCCACUACACACACACAUAAAAAUAAAUUUCAGAUAACAAUGAUCAACAAGAAGCCAGAUAAAGUGUAAAUACUGUAUGAUUCUAUUUACUAGCAGUUCAAGAACUGACAACAUGAAUCCAUGUGAUGGAGGUUAUAAAAAUGUUACCUAGUCCUGGGCACGGUGACACACUCUAUACUUCUAGUCCUCAGGAGGCUGAGACAGAAGAAUCACUUGAGUCCAUGAGUUUGAGACCAGCCCCGGC